rnacentral:rRNA from 1 species
UGCGUAGGCGGCAAUGCAAGUCAGAUGUGAAAAUCCAAGGCUCAACUUUGGAAAUGCAUUUGAAACUGCAUAGCUAGAGUACAGGAGAGGAAAGCGGAAUUCCUAGUGUAGUGGUGAAAUGCGUAGAUAUUAGGAAGAACACCAGUGGCGAAGGCGGCUUUCUGGACUGAAACUGACGCUGAGGCACGAAAGCGUGGGAGCGAACA